rnacentral:rRNA from 1 species
UUGUACCUACGGGGGGCAGCAGUGGGGAAUAUUGGUCAAUGGAGGAAACUCUGAACCAGCAACGCCGCGUGAAUGAUGAAGGUCUUCGGAUUGUAAAGUUCUUUUCUAAGGGAAGAAGAUAGUGACGGUACCUUAGGAAUAAGCCUCGGCUAACUACGUGCCAGCAGCCGCGGUAAUACGUAGGAGGCAAGCGUUAUCCGGAAUGACUGGGCGUAAAGGGUGCGUAGGUGGUUUGGCAAGUUAGUAGCGUAACCCCGGGGCUCAACCUC